GAUGAACGCUGGCGGCGUGCCUAAUACAUGCAAGUCGAGCGAAUGGAUUAAGCGCUUGCUCUUAUGAAGUUAGCGGCGGACGGGUGAGUAACACGUGGGUAACCUGCCCAUAAGACUGGGAUAACUCCGGGAAACCGGGGCUAAUACCGGAUAACAUUUUGAACCGCAUGGUUCGAAAUUGAAAGGCGGCUUCGGCUGUCACUUAUGGAUGGACCCGCGUCGCAUUAGCUAGUUGGUGAGGUAACGGCUCACCAAGGCAACGAUGCGUAGCCGACCUGAGAGGGUGAUCGGCCACACUGGGACUGGGACACGGCCCAGACUCCUACGGGAGGCAGCAGUAGGGAAUCUUCCGCAAUGGACGAAAGUCUGACGGAGCAACGCCGCGUGAGUGAUGAAGGCUUUCGGGUCGUAAAAUUCUGUUGUUAGGGAAGAACAAGUGCUAGUUGAAUAAGCUGGCACCUUGACGGUACCUAACCAGAAAGCCACGGCUAACUACGUGCCAGCCGCCGCAGUAA
rnacentral:rRNA from 1 species